ensembl:lncRNA
GGCUGGAUUGUGCAACCUCGACAUUUACUGGCAAAGAGACAGAGGUGAGCUUGGGGACAGGUCAUGGCUGGCCUCCCCCGCUCCCCUCCCCAGUUCUAUCCUCCAAGUCCCCGUGGCAUAUUCAGUCCCAAGGGCCAGGCUCAUACAGUCACGCCCUCUUGCUGGCACUUGGCUGAUCGGCAGGAGUUGGGCAGCUAAGCUACUGAGAGAGGCUGGCAAGGACAGACGUGCUGUUUUUUCUCUUGGAGCCUGCCCACCAUUUAAUUCAAGAUGCUUUAAUUGAACACCUACUCCAUGCCAGGCACACGGGGAAAUCAGAUGCAGUUUUGACACCAUCCUUACUCCUUAGUAGCUUAGAAUUCAGCAGAAAAUGAAGGCAGAAGUAUGUGUUGUCCUGAGUUUCUACUUUGGCCCUGAGAAGUUACCAUAGAAGCGUAAAGAAGGAAGAGACUUUCCAACCAGGGACAGCCCUACCAAGGCUUAGUUCAGAGGUCAUUUGGUGAGGACCUACUAUGUGCAGAAGACUCCCUAGACACCUCUCUGAGGUACAGGAUUAUUAUCACCUCUAUUUUACAGACGAAGAGACUGGGGUUCUGAAAUGUUAAAUAACUUCCUAAAAUUAUAUCACCAGGAAGAGGUACAAACAGGAAGAGAUUUCCAGUCAAAGCAUAUACUUUUUCCAGGAAACUAGACCACCUACUCCUUAGAGAAGGCUGAAUUUGUCCUGAGCUUGAAGUAAGACUGACAUUUGGUCAGGCAGCUCUGAGGUGGAGGGCUUUCCUUCUGUUUCUGCACCCAGACAGGUGCAAACUGGCUGCCCUGAGACACAGUCACUGUCCUCCCACGGGGGUGCUGACAAAGCCUGAAAGCAUGCUUCGGAGGAGGCAUCCACUCCAGAUCCUCUCUCAGCCUCCAUCUGUGAUUCAGCCCUAAAAAAAUAACCUCGCUGCCAAUCCAGAUAGUCCUGGCUGCCCACUGAAACCAACAUCUCAGAUGGAUUUAGCACCUUCUGGAAGCCAUUCCUCAGUCAUGCACCAUUAAUAACCCGUUCAGCUAUCUAACUGGCCCGAGCACAAACACACCCCUUAUGUCACCCCGAGGAGUUUGGCCCUGAACCUCUCCACAGAGGAGCAUCUGAGCUGGCUGAAGGAGUGACCAGCCCUGGGAAGGCACCGAGUGACACUGAGAGGGCUAGGAGAGUGUUUACAUCUCCAGCUCUGUUCUUGAGUGAUUCAUGCAGCCCACAGAAUAAAAUUAACAUCUCGUCCAGCACCAGAAAAUUAUGUUUCUUCCUUCAAAAAAAAAAAAAUCACAAUUUGUCUGCAAAGGCCCUGGCUUAUACUGGGGACAUGGAGCCAUCCUGUGGUCACUUCACUGGACAACCUGGCAGCUGCCAUCAGGACCCCAGGAACUGGAGGCAUCCCAGAAGUUGGCCCUAAACCGUGUGCUCUGCCCUGGCUGGACAUCCUGCUCCUGCCGGCAAUGCUUUGUCUGCCCCUUGUUUCCUCUGAACAAAUGUUCUACAUGUGACCAAGUGCUCUGGGGGCCUCCACACCUCUUUCUUGAUAUGGCUCCUAUUGCCCACAGGUGUCGAGCUAUUCAUCUCAGCUUCAGCUGCAGGGGCUCCACUCCAUGAGCCCUGGGGAGGGGGAGCAGUAGCCCCCUCACUUCGUGCUCCCACUGUCUCCAUGCACUACUCACAAGGAUAGACCCC